rnacentral:rRNA from 1 species
AACGAACGCUGGCGGCAUGCCUAACACAUGCAAGUCGAACGAUUGCCUUCGGGUGAUAGUGGCGCACGGGUGCGUAACGCGUGGGAAUCUGCCCUUUGGUUCGGAAUAACAGUUGGAAACGACUGCUAAUACCGGAUGAUGACGAAAGUCCAAAGAUUUAUCGCCAGAGGAUGAGCCCGCGUAGGAUUAGCUAGUUGGUGUGGUAAGGGCGCACCAAGGCGACGAUCCUUAGCUGGUCUGAGAGGAUGAUCAGCCACACUGGGACUGAGACACGGCCCAGACUCCUACGGGAGGCAGCAGUGGGGAAUAUUGGACAAUGGGCGAAAGCCUGAUCCAGCAAUGCCGCGUGAGUGAUGAAGGCCUUAGGGUUGUAAAGCUCUUUUACCCGGGAUGAUAAUGACAGUACCGGGAGAAUAAGCUCCGGCUAACUCCGUGCCAGCCGCCGCGGUAAGAC